GUGCUUGCUGCAUGAAGCAGCACAUGUGCUAAAAUUGGAACCAUACAGAGAAGAUGAGUAUGGCCCCUGCACAAAGAUGACAUGCAAAUUCAUGAAGCUUACAUAUUUUUG
ensembl:snRNA U6 U6 spliceosomal RNA